rnacentral:lncRNA from 1 species
AUGAAAAGAACCUGCACCUCCCAGGGGUUGAAGUCAGGCCACAUGGUCACCUGGGCCAAAUCUCCAAGCAGAGCUGACCCCCAGAGCUGUGCAGUCAUUCACUCAGUGCUUAAUCAAUGUCCUGGAGUUCUCCCGGAAACACAGUCUCUGCCUUCAGGGAAUUCAUGGUCCCUUUCCCUAGCAUGUGUAUUUAGCUCCACUGAGAUGAAGCCAUACUGCAUAGGAAGGGCCCUUGAUCCAAUGUGAAGACACAGGGACUUGGAGAGGACGCCAGGGAAUGACAGAGGCAGAGACAGCACUGAUGCACCUGCAAGCCAAGGAGUGCAAAGGAUCCAUGGCCAUCACCAGAAGCUAGGAAGAGGAUUCUUCCCAGAGCCCUUGGAAAAACUGGCUCUGCUGACACUUGAUUCAAACUUCGAGCCUGAAGAACUAUAAGAAAAUUAUUUCUGUUGUUUUAAUCCAUUGGGUUUAUGGUACUUUAUUACAUCAGCCAUGGGAAAGUAGUAUCUAAGCCGACUCUCUUCGUAAGCUUUCCUGUUUCCAAUUUGGGUCCUUCCUAUUUCCCACUUGGAUCUUUCCUAUUCCCCACUUGAGUGCCCAGCCUGCCCACAUACUGAACAGUUGUCAUAGACCCUAUGAAGAAGACUUAUUAAGUGGUCUUUUGUAUUCAGUGCCCUUGGAUUCAAAUUCAUGAAGAAGAGUUAAACUCAAGGAUCAAAUCAUUCUGUAUCUGGUUUGAAGCAUGUGAGGUAGGAUAUUAUCACAACCACAAAUGGAACUAUAUUCAUCACAUUGCUUAUACUGUGUUACUGAUUAGCUUCACCCUCAAUGGUCACUAAAGAAAUUGAACUGACCAUGAAUAUUUUAUAUCAAGAGACCAUCAACCUGAAAAGAGCUUCCAAAAGUAAACGCAUAACUGAGAUCUGGAGUUAGUCUUCCAAGACAAAGUGGCUUGGAUUUAUUUUAAAUUUAAAAUGUAGUCCAUGUAAUUCUCGGGCAGCAUUAUUUUUCCUCUAUAAUAAAUUUCUAGUAUUGGACCAUAUCCUAGUCUAACUCAAAAAUAAUCUCUGAGAAUAAAGCACGACACAACACAUGAGGAGAAUUUCCAGGGUGCAGUAGAGACACCCACACAACUGACCUAAAACAUCUCUCGAGUUGUUACAAUAGUUAUCUUCGAACUUAGCCAAAAAUCUUAUAAUCUCCAGCUUGGGCUCUGAAUCUCUAGUAAGUUUUCAGAUUAAACCUUUUUUUUCUUAAAGCUUCUUUUUCUAGGAAAAUUUCAGUCCUCUGGUGGAAAUCAUUAUAUGUGUGAAAUGGUAUCUGACCCAAAGGAAGGUGUUCACAAUCAGCAUAUUUAAGGAGUUCCUACUGUGUGCAAAGCAGUUUAGUCUUCAUGACUCUUGAUACAAAGGCGAAAUGAAUAUGAUCCCUUAUCUUAUCAAAUUUUACCAGGUAAGAAUUCAAUGAUUAUCCAGGUAGAAGAGACAAACAUACCAAUAAAUCCAAAAAUAAGUCAAUGUGAGCUUCUGCACCAGCCACAGACCCAUCCCUGAGACCCCUUUGAGAUGUUCAUACUCAGAAUUCAACUCUUCCUCUAGAAUCAUUACAAGAUUAGCUACCAGUUGUACAUCAGCCACUCCUAAUACCUAGUGGGGUUUCAAUGUUGUCUUGCAUCAAUGAAGGUGCUAAUCACGUCUAUGGUGACAUUUAACACCACCUCCGACUCCCUCAUCUCAAACCUCUGCUUCUGCUGGCCACCUCCUCUGCCACACCACCCCCCUUAACUGAAUGGGUUUGGUAAACUUUGGUUUGAGCUAGAUUUCUGACAAUUAUCCCCCACUAUUUUUACCUGCAUGGUGCCACCAAUGUCUGCAUGAAGAGGGGAGAGAUAAAGAAGAAAGAGAAAAAAAUGGAGAAGUGCGUUAAAAUAAAUAAAUAAAUAAAAUUAUAAAGGCAGCUGAGAGCUAGGUUGUCAAAGUCAUUAAAUGCCAACUGAGAAGGAAUGAUGUGAUUCCAUCUUUCUUUUAGAACAAGUACUAAUAUCCAAGAUAUUGCUAACGCUGUGAUGUGUGUCACUGACUUUGUGAUAGAAUGUAACAAGUACCAAAUUUUCUAAAUGCUUUGCCAUAAAAUUAAAGUACAAUCAAUAUUAUUACCAUAAUAAUGGAGUUUCUCAAAGUUGUGUGAUAAUGAACCCUAAAACAAAUCAAAAAAGCAAAGCAAACUUUAUAUGGAUCUCCAAUAUUGGCCAAUCAUCUUCAUUGUAAGUUUUUAUGAUUGGCUGAAAAAUGUAUCUCCACCCUCAAGGAUAUCCAUGUCCUGUUCUCUGGAACCUGUACAUGUUAUUUUCAAUUGCAAAAAAGUGGGGAAGGGGUGUGGGGAUGUGAUUAAGUUGAGAAAUUUGAGAUGUGAGACUAUUCUGGAUUUUCCAGAGGAAGGCAAAGGACAAAUUGACACACAAAGAGGACAAAGCAAGUGAAGUUGGAGAAGACAAAGAUUUGAGGAUGUGGCCACAAGCCAAGGAACCCUGGCAGCCACCACAAGCCAGAAGAGGCAAGGAACAGAUUCUACCGAAGUCUCCCAAGGGAGACUCCCAAGGGAGUGUGGCCCUGCUCAUGCCUUGAUUUCAGCCGAGUGAUAGUAAUUUGAGACUUCGGGUCUGCACAACUGUGAAAUAAUACAUUUAUUUUAUUUUAAAACACCAAGGUGGUGGAAAUUUGUUUCAGCAGCCAUAAGAAACUGAUCAUUUUUAUUACAAAUCUGAUGUGCAAACAUCAAACAAUGGAUAAAUUCCUUAUGCUUACACCUAUAAAACAUCUCUAAAAUCCCAUCUCACCUAUAAAUUAAAUAAAAAGGAAGCUUUUUAUUUAAGCCAAUAAAACUCAAUAACAGAAAUAUAAUAUGAUUGAUGAUUGCAAAAAGAGGCCACUGUUUGCAAUAUGAAUAUAGCUCUUAUAGUCACAUUGCAAGUUCUCUUAAGUGUCAUCUGCCUAAAAUGCAGGGUGCCAUGUGCUAACUUCAAUCUCCCACCAUUUCUCUCUCGUUGAACUAGUAAAAGGAUUCAUGGAGAUUCACUAGGUUAAAUAUUUAAUUUUAGUGUAUAUAGUCUGCCUUUCUCCUUUUCUUGUUAGCCUCUGCCAUUCAAAUAGAACUACUGCAAGGAAAGAGUAAACAUAGAAGCCAACUGAACACUGAAGUUGAGAGUCAUCACUGUUUACAGGUGACCAUCUAAAUCAAUGAUUCUUCACCUUAAAUCUGCAUGCACAGAUCACCAAGUGUCCUGUUAAAAUGCAAAUUCAUAGGUCUGGGCAGGACCUGAUCUUCUAGUGAGUUCCCAUCAAGAUGAUGCCAAUGUUGCUGGACCACAGUUUAAAAAGCAGGGCUCUAAGAAACCCAUCCAGAGUGCACUUCUUUGUUUGUUUGUUUGUGUGUUUUUGAGAUGGAGUCUUCGCCACCCAGGCUGGAGUGCAGUGGUGCAAUCUUGGCUUAUUACAACCUCCACCUCCCGGAUUCAAGUGAUUCUCCUGCCUCGGC